UACGUAGGGUGCGAGCGUUGUCCGGAAUUAUUGGGCGUAAAGGGCUCGUAGGCGGUUUGUUGCGUCGGGAGUGAAAACUCAGGGCUUAACCCUGAGCCUGCUUCCGAUACGGGCAGACUAGAGGUAUGCAGGGGAGAACGGAAUUCCUGGUGUAGCGGUGAAAUGCGCAGAUAUCAGGAGGAACACCGGUGGCGAAGGCGGUUCUCUGGGCAUUACCUGACGCUGAGGAGCGAAAGCUAGGGGAGCAAACGGG
rnacentral:rRNA from 1 species